UUCCAGACUCCUACGGGAGGCAGCAGUGGGGAAUAUUGCACAAUGGGGGAAACCCUGAUGCAGCGACGCCGCGUGAGUGAAGAAGUAUUUCGGUAUGUAAAGCUCUAUCAGCAGGGAAGAAAAUGACGGUACCUGACUAAGAAGCCCCGGCUAACUACGUGCCAGCAGCCGCGGUAAUACGUAGGGGGCAAGCGUUAUCCGGAUUUACUGGGUGUAAAGGGAGCGUAGACGGCAUGGCAAGUCAGAUGUGAAAGCCCGGGGCUCAACCCCGGGACUGCAUUUGAAACUGUCAGGCUGGAGUGCAGGAGAGGUAAGUGGAAUUCCUAGUGUAGCGGUGAAAUGCGUAGAUAUUAGGAGGAACACCAGUGGCGAAGGCGGCUUACUGGACUGUAACUGACGUUGAGGCUCGAAAGCGUGAGGAGCAAACAGGAUUAGAUACCCUAGUAAUC
rnacentral:rRNA from 1 species